AUGAACGCUGGCGGCGUGCCUAAUCCAUGCCCGUCGAGCGAACAGACGAGGAGCUUGCUCCUCUGAUGUUAGCGGCGGACGGGUGAGUAACACGUGGAUAACCUACCUAUAAGACUGGGAUAACUUCGGGAAACCGGAGCUAAUACCGGAUAACAUGUUGAACCGCAUGGUUCAACAGUGAAAGACGGUCUUGCUGUCACUUAUAGAUGGAUCCGCGCCGCAUUAGCUAGUUGGUAAGGUAACGGCUUACCAAGGCAACGAUGCGUAGCCGACCUGAGAGGGUGAUCGGCCACACUGGAACUGAGACACGGUCCAGACUCCUACGGGAGGCAGCAGUAGGGAAUCUUCCGCAAUGGGCGAAAGCCUGACGGAGCAACGCCGCGUGAGUGAAGAAGGUCUUCGGAUCGUAAAACUCUGUUAUUAGGGAAGAACAAAUGUGUAAGUAACUAUGCACGUCUUGACGGUACCUAAUCAGAAAGCCACGGCUAACUACGUG
rnacentral:rRNA from 1 species